rnacentral:lncRNA from 1 species
AUAGUUAACAUGAAUGGCACGCACGCACACUGACACACUCACACACACUCACACACACAUGCCUGCAUACAGUUAUCAGAAGCAGAACUUGUAGAUAUGUUUGGCUGAGAAAAACAAGAGCACCAUAAAUGCUGGCAUACUAUAAUACUUAGCAUGAGUUGAUGUGCAUGCACUAACCAUACAGAGAGAGAGAGAGAGAGAGAGAGAGGUGAGGUACCAUAGCUAAAGAGCUCUUCAUACUACAUUGAAUAGGAUGAGGAAUAUAAGCCACUGAAGAAUCUUGAAGUGCAAAGAAGACAUCUUUGAUGCGAGACACCAGCUUCAAAUCCUCAACAACCUGCUUUCCUCAAGUGAAGGAAAGAACAGAUAAGUAAAUGUAGGUUUAAAUGAUGCAUAGAUUAUGACUUAAGAGACUUGAGGUUGUAUGUCGCAUUGCAGAGAUCCAUUAUAACAAAAUUAAUGCAUACAUUUAAAAGUUCUAUUCUAACAAAGGGAGAUAUUGCAUAAGACCAAGCACAAAGUAUGGUAAUAAACUCGAUACUAGAAAUAAAAGCAAUGUUGAAAACUUGGAGCAACAAAUGCAAACAUUCGUCUUUAAUAAGUAGCCACACUGCCCAGGCAACCAAAAAAGGUGAGGUGAAAAUUUGUGGUGCAUAGCAACUAUUUAGUUGUUUAACUAAUCAACGAUUGGAAGAUUGCUCAUCAACUCAUGCAAAUCGAGUAAAAGCUCUCGCUUUCUAGUGGUGUCCACACUGCCAGCUGCUUGGGAUAUUACACUUACAGGUUCCAUUCCCAUAAGGCAUUUUCAACUGUUUUAGUGAACCAGACAACAAUGUGACAUGGUCCACAUAGUAAUAAGUUUGUUGUCAUCAGUACCAUAUUCUAGAACAGAUGUCAGACGUUCCAAAAAUUGAUUCUUGAAGCCUCAUACAAAUAUACUUCAUUUUGUAAUCUGAUUUGAAAGUUGAACAAUUCUCAAGCAGGAUAUUGUUUAAAUUUAACCAGAUCACCUUUACAGUAUGUUAAGUUUACUGACAUAGGAUGUUAUGGAUGCUUGCAAUUGUCGCUUUUAUCAAUUAUCAUACACCCGCUUCAAAAUACUAGAGAAGCAACAGAUAAGUGCAUUGCAUUUCAGAAAAGUUAUUAAAGAAAAAAACCAAAAAAAAAAAAAAUGGAUCCAACAACCAAUCAGAUUUCAAAAAUGAGCUACCAUGCACGAUUUGUCAAUGCAACAAAUGGCUAGAAAUUAUCUUACUUGCUGUAAAGAGCCAAGCUGUACAACUCCAUGUGGAACAACAGCCACAACAACAAUGGUCUGCACAACAAAGGAAAAUGGUUUAUGUCAACAGAAUGUCUCUGUACAGUUAAGACAAAUGCCAAGUAUAAGGCAAAACAAACUAAAUGUAGUAGAAAAGGUUCCCUAAUCUAAGAAUUUUAUCUUGAAUUGUAUAGCCAUCAAUCCAUUAUUUAUGAAUCAAUAAGAGAAGUCCUAAACUUUUUCCUAUUGAGUAAAGAACUUCGAAGAAAUGAUGGAAUGUAUUCAAUCACUAAGGUGAAUGAACAAAACCAUGGAAAUAAACAUCAGGAGUAGAAAUUGUUUAUAAAUCAUCAUAUCGAUGCGAAUAUGACAAAAUCUAAUGCAAUUCUAACUGUCCAAGGCAGUAAAUUCACUUUUGACAUUAAAAAAAAGGCACUACUUGGGUGCGAAAAUGACAGUAUGUUGACCCAAACCUACCAAAAGUUGCAUCCCUUGCACAACCCUAAUCCCCACAGUGAUGCCUCGAAAAGAAAAAGGAGCAUCUCAAUAGAUAAAACUUUCACUACAGAGACUAAAAUGCAACUACGUGCAACUACAUAAUAUUCUUACCAUUGAAAGGCCAUCAUCUGAUGGGUUCAGCAUCAACUGUGUAUGUGUAAGGUGGCUACCAAUCAUAAAUCUAAUAUUUGCAGGUUGAUAAUGAGUAAGAAGGAUGCACAAAAAAAAAACGAGAAUUUUCAAGAUAAACAUAUUUGACAUGAACAGCUCCAAGAGGUGAAAGAAUGAAAGGACAGCCAAAUCAAAUAGCAUAAACAUCUAAGAGAGACGGGAAACAACAUCACCAGUGAGAAGUAGUACAGGUAUCUAAAAUGCUGGUGGAGGACAAGGUGGAGGUGUUGAGGGUAGAAAAGGAUAUAAAUGAGUUAGAUUUAAAAUAUUAGAAUGGAGGUAAAAAUGGGGAUGAAAGAGUUCCAGUUCAAAUUCAAGUAGUUUAGAAAAGGCAUUACAGAUUUAUGGUGACCAGGAGGACAUUAAAAAGGCAACUAGUUAAAUCCACUACUCUUCUGAUUCUCAGUUCAAGGAUUAAAAUAGGUUCACAAUAAGCAGCUUUCAUCAUGCUGGCUAUGCCACAGCCUGUAGCCCAAAUGUAGAUUAAAAAUAAAUGUAGUGAAAACCACCAAAUGACCAUAAUAAUUCAAUAGAUCAUUCUUCUUUACUAUUAGUGGAAGUGUAUUAACAUCAGCCCAUAAGGGCCAGUAAUUAGAUUGGCUACUUUUGUUUUUUUCCAUAUCCUGACAAUAACCAUAAAAAUGCCCCUAAAAAACUGUUUGCUAGCCUGUGCAUAUGAAUGUCUCCAUAUGAUAUCAUUCAUCACAACAAAUAAAAUAAAUUACAGAGAGAAAACAUACCUUAAUCCCAGCUGAAAACUGUGCUUGCCACCCAUCACAGUACUGGAAAUCAACCAAAAAUCAUGAAUAAGAAAGAAAAAAAUUGCAAAUAAUCAGUGCAGUAAUAGAACCUAAUCCAUUUUCCAGUGUAAUCACCUCAAAUGAUGAAGAGGAAUUAGUUGUAUGCUUAUCUGAAAAAAUCCACUGAUGCUUUCCAGUAACUGCCACCUGUCCAACAAUCCUGUUCAACAAAGGACUAAUGUGAAAACUACAACAGAAGGUCUUUCCUGGACUUGAAUUGUUUUGAAUUUGAACUAUUACCCCCAAUGAGAACAGUAUAGACAGGUAAUGAACCUGUAAGCAUAAUUGGACGAGAAUGAUAAUUGAUAAAAGAUAUUUUAUAAUUUUAAAUCUGCCCAAUUAAUGCUGACUUGAGUAAGGAGAUGUAAUUGGAAAAGAGAGUGACAUGAUGCAAGACUGCAACAACACCGAUAUAUAGAUGAUAACUUCUAAUGACAAUGGAUAAUUUCCAUUAGGUAAAACUUUCUUCCCACCAAACUAUAUGGUCCCAGUCAAGCUAUUGUACUAUGGCAGGUGAAAGAUAAAUCAGUUAAGAGACAUACCCUUCCCCUAGAGAAUACACAUGAUAUGACAUCUUUGCCACAGCCAACCCAAGAGCAUCAUGUGAAUAGUGCCCAUCAUGCAAGGUGUCUGGUGUCUUGCUGAAGCACUUAUCCUCCAAAGGAUCAUGUUGGUCAUGGUUGUCAUAGUAAGCAUCCUCCCAAGUCAACACCCUGCAAGAAAUUCCAUAUGCCAAAAUGAAAAAGACAGGAACAUUGUAAGAUGUUUAACUCCUGAAAAGGCCUAACUCCUAAUCUCAAUGCUCAACCACAACAAAAAAUUCUUCCAACAUGCAUGCACACACAAGAAUAAACCAUGUUAACAUUCAAUUCCAUGAAAAAAUUAUUAUACACAAUAAUAAGUAGACAAACUUGAAUUCCUUCAGGUGGAGACAUGAUGCAGGUACCAUCUAAAAUCACAGGCAAGCCUAAUAACUACAAUUAUAUAUAUAUAUAUGUAUUUUUUUUUUUUAAAUCAGAAGCCUAAUAACUACAAUUGCACCUUCCAUUUGACAAGCCAGAUCCAAUUGAAGUAUUCUUUCACCAGUAUAGACAUUAUAGCACCCAUUCAUUUUCUUUGGAAACAAAAUUAUAAUUAGAAGAUAUACUAGCUCUAAUCCAUCCCAAAAUUUUACAUAUACCUAGAUGUAUAACACAUGAUCAUCGACUUGCAAGCCUCAAAUUCCAGACUUGAAAUAUGCAAUUUACAAGCCAUAUUCUUGCAACUGAAAUCUAUUUGUAGUAAACAAAUAAGAACACAUAAAUUAAAACAUUACAGUUAUCAUAGAAAGAGGUUUUGAAUUCAUGAAUUGAAAUCAAAAUUCUCAUUCGCAGUACAUUGGAUUAGCCAAAUUUACGACCAAAUUUUGAGAAACCCCACACUUCUCAAUCUUUUCAAUGACCCAAUCGAAUUCCCUUCAAUGUCAACAGAAUUUCCUAAUAACUGGUUCAGAUUUCCAGAAAAAUAUAAUGUUGUGUUUUCCAUUUUUUUGUUCAUGAACUUUGAAAUAACCAAUUAACCUAACCUAGUACAAUUAUUUGCCGAGUAAAGUUGAGCUUUAUCUAGAACUACAAGUUUCUUCUCUUUCUGAAAUAAUCAACUCAAUUAAAUCCAGUACAAUUAUUUGCUGAAUCAAUCAACCUUUUUAAUUUCCUAAAAACCCAAACAAUGAAACAUCUAAAACCAGAAUUCCCUUUCCAAGCCAUUAAAUCAGGCAAAACUAUUGGCUGAGUUCGUUGCUUUUCAUUUUCUUAAAAAGCACACAACUAAACAUCUAAAACUACAAUUUCCACUCCUUUUAAUAUAAUCAACUCAGUCAAUCUAGCACAAUUAUUGAAGGAGUUAGUCAAGCUUUGCAUUUUCUUAGAGAUCAAAGCACAAAACCCAAAGCACCAAUACCCUUGUUUUUCUUCUCCUGUUUUCUCAACUACGAAACGAAGUGUAUAUGCAUGAAAGACACGAAAAAGGGCUAGAAGAUAAGAGAAGCAAAGAAUCAACUUACAUGCGAGCCCGAUGUUUGAGUUUCCAAAAGACGGCGUACUUCCACUCAGUAUUGAAACAGAGGCUUCUCAGCGUUUGCUGCAAGUCAGUAGCCAUCUCUUCACCCCCUCAAAAUCCUAAUACGCCCCUAAAAUUUCCUUCAAUUGGGUCAACCAAACCUCCAAAAAAAAAAGCUUAAUUUCCUGCGAUUUCCAUCUGCCCCUAGCUCCCCCUGUAAGAUCCUCUACCCGCCUGUUUAAUCCGCAACCCAGCUCGCCGCUUUAUUGGCGGUCCUACCGUCGGCAGGAGCAGCCGAUCCAUCACCCCCCUCCCUCCUUCCCCCCCUCUACCCAAAAACCCAAACUCAAUUCACUCAAAGUCGCUCAAACAACUGAAAUCACGAUACCGACAAUCAAGAUUUCGAAACAGAGCAACAACAAGAUACAGUUUCCACACUCAGCCAUUAGAUUGUCCGGACACUGUUCCUCUUUUCCACCACAGUCUGUAGCGAAAUGUAGGGAGCACAACAAUGCGAAGACUAGCUUAUAUCGAACGACAUGGAGGAUGAAAAUCCGAGCUCCAGGGAGAUCAACUUACGAAGAAGUCACAAAAUUGAAUUGAAUAGAUGAAUGAAAGUUUCAGAUGGGAACAAAAAGCAUUGCCAAGUGGUGCCCUAGUGCAUCAAGAGUGGAACUCGACGCUUUGGCUGAGUGAGAAAUGAGAAGCAGAGAUGAAUUCAGAGGUGUGAGCCACAUGUGGUGCCAUUAUAGAGAGAGAAAGAAGAGAGAGAAAGCACCUAAAAGGGAGGCUAGAGAGAGAAGUAGAAAGAAAAGCCUCAAAGCUUUUCUUUUGCUUUGUAGAGAGAGAAAGCAGACCAAGCCGUUUGCUUUUGAGAGAGAGAUGGAGAUGGUGAAUAAAA